ensembl:rRNA 5S_rRNA 5S ribosomal RNA
AUUUGUUUUGAUACCACCCUGAGCAUGAUCUCGUCUGAUCUCAGACACUAAGCAGGGCUGGGCCUAGUUAAUACUUGGAUGACAGGCCCCCUGGGAUUAUAGUAGAAAAGAACCAUUU